UGAUACUCAUGCUUUAUACCUGGAAA
rnacentral:piRNA from 1 species